rnacentral:rRNA from 1 species
GACGGGGGGGGCAAGUGUUCUUCGGAAUGACUGGGCGUAAAGGGCACGUAGGCGGUGAAUCGGGUUGAAAGUGAAAGUCGCCAAAAAGUGGCGGAAUGCUCUCGAAACCAAUUCACUUGAGUGAGACAGAGGAGAGUGGAAUUUCGUGUGUAGGGGUGAAAUCCGUAAAUAUACGAAGGAACGCCAAAAGCGAAGGCAGUGUCCUGGGGAGUACCUGACGCUCAGGUGCGAAAGCCAGGGGAGCGAACGGG